rnacentral:misc_RNA from 1 species
GAUGAAGAACGCAGCGAAAUGCGAUAAGUAAUGUGAAUUGCAGAAUUCAGUGAAUCACCGAAUCUUUGAACGCACAUUGCGCCCGCCAGUAUUCUGGCGGGCAUGCCUGUUCGAGCGUCAUUUCAACCAUCAAGCCCCCGGCUUGUGUUGGGGACCUGCGGCUGCCGCAGGCCCUGAAAAGCAGUGGCGGGCUCGCUGUCACACCGAGCGUAGUAGAUUUCAUCUCGCUCAGGGCGUGCUGCGGGUUCCGGCCGUUAAACCACCUUCAUAACCCAAGGUUGACCUCGGAUCAGGUAGGAAGACCCGCUGAACUUAAGCAUAUCAAUAAGCGGAGGA